rnacentral:rRNA from 1 species
UACGUAGGAUGCGAGCGUUGUCCGGAAUUAUUGGGCGUAAAGAGCUUGUAGGCGGUCUGUCGCGUCUGCUGUGAAAAUCCGGGGCUCAACCCCGGACUUGCAGUGGGUACGGGCAGACUAAAGUGUGGUAGGGGAGACUGGAAUUCCUGGUGUAGCGGUGAAAUGCGCAGAUAUCAGGAGGAACACCGAUGGCGAAGGCAGGUCUCUGGGCCACUACUGACGCUGAGAAGCGAAAGCAUGGGGAGCGAACAGG